GUGAAGCGGCAAAAGCUCAAAUUUGAAAUCUAGCACCUUCGGUGUUCSAGUUGUAAUUUGAAGAUGGUAACCUUGGGUUUGGCUCUUGUCUAUGUUCCUUGGAACAGGACGUCAUAGAGGGUGAGAAUCCCGUCUGAUGAGAUGCCCAUUCCUAUGUAAGGUGCUAUCGAAGAGUCGAGUUGUUUGGGAAUGCAGCUCUAAGUGGGUGGUAAAUUCCAUCUAAAGCUAAAUAUUGGCGAGAGACCGAUAGCGAACAAGUACAGUGAUGGAAAGAUGAAAAGAACUUUGAAAAGAGAGUGAAAAAGUACGUGAAAUUGUUGAAAGGGAAGGGCAUUAGAUCAGACUUGGUGUUUUACGAUUAUCUUCUCUUCUUGAGUUGUGCACUCGUAUUUCACUGGGCCAGCAUCGAUUCGGAUGGCAAGAUAAUGGCAGUUGAAUGUGGCUUCACUUCGGUGGAGUGUUAUAGCUUCUGCUGAUAUUGCCUGUCUGGAUCGAGGGCUGCGUCUUUUGACUAGGAUGCUGGCGUAAUGAU
rnacentral:rRNA from 1 species